rnacentral:rRNA from 1 species
UACGUAGGGUGCGAGGCGUUAAUCGGAAUUACUGGGCGUAAAGCGUGCGCAGGCGGUGAUGUAAGACAGAUGUGAAAUCCCGGGCUCAACCUGGGAACUGCAUUUGUGACUGCAUCGCUGGAGUGCGGCAGAGGGGGAUGGAAUUCCGCGUGUAGCAGUGAAAUGCGUAGAUAUGCGGAGGAACACCGAUGGCGAAGGCAAUCCCCUGGGCCUGCACUGACGCUCAUGCACGAAAGGCGUGGGGAGCAAACAGG